GAAUAGCUAGUUUAACCAAAACACUUGAUUUCGGCUCAAAUAAUUAUGAUUUAUUUCAUAGCUUUUCU
rnacentral:tRNA from 1 species